UUAAUCGGAGCUGGAUCGGAGUAAAUUUUAUAAAUGAUUUAAAAUUUUUCAAAGUGUAUCACACAGUAGGAGGUAAAUGUACAAUAAAAAAUCUGGUUUUUGCGAAUUUAUUAAGUAAUUUAGUGACAAGAAAUAUGGUCACGAAUGAAAGUAUCGUAAAUUAGCAAAAUCACCAAGAAUUAAAAAUGAUGGAAUCAUAAUUUUAUUCUUCAUUAAUUUUAAAUUUCAUUGAGUAUAUAAAUUUUUAAAGAUAUUUCAUUGAUUUUAUUUUAAUGACCAAAAUAAAACCUUAUGCAGUAAAAUUAAAAAUAUUAUCCAUUAUUAAUUUCCUUGUUGAGACGAAAAUAAUCUCAUUUCUUUUGCAAGAACUUAUCUAAACUGGGAGCGGUUGUGUGUAUAAAUUUCACUCUCUGACAACCCUAUACAUAAAACACAAAUUUCCACUGGGACAUCCACAAAUUACGCCAAGUGAGCGCUCUCCGUUUGCAUCAACUGAAUCAAGGACGCCGCCUGAGAAUAUACAACCACUGAAUUAUGGCCCUUUUUGUCCAGCAAAAGAAAAAAAAAUACCAACCGGCGAUAAAAAGCUGCAAUCAAAUAUACACAAUACCUUUCAGGGGACUUGAAAUCCGCCAACUCACUCCUCGUCCUCACAACUUGGCCGAAAGUUUGACCAACUUGUCCGUGGGAAAAUCACUUUCUCAAAGGGCAGACUGUAACUGAAGCAAGUCGUUUGCCUCACCAGACUAUACUAGACCCGGACUGUGGUUGACUGCCGGCAGCUCCACACACUGUAGGCGCACCAGAGCGUGUCCGUCGUAAGCCCCAUUGGGUGCAAAAGCGGGAGCAUCUCCAUUCAAAUCUAAAGAAUUCCCAGACGCCAAUGUGAAGCCGUUCAUCCGACCAGUCUGCCCAGGUGGAACAAAUCAGAAUGCAUGAAUUUUCUUGGCCAAAUUGAGCUUUCUUUAAUAUUUUUCUAAACUUUACAUUAUGGUAAAAAAAUCGCAAUUUUCUUAAGCAACGAUAUAAAUUUAUAUUUUGUUACAAAUGCACCUCAAUCGUGGAAUAUUAUUAUUUGUGUUAAUUAAAACUUCCUACAAUUACUCUUAAACAAUGGAAUAGUUUUUUGUUUUUCACAGUGGUUAUUACUGGAUAAAAAAUCAAAGCAAAGUAAGAAUAUAAGUACGCAAUAGGUGU